CAGUCAGAGGGGACAGAGGACAGGGUGGCGUCCGUGAUGAGCGCGACUGAGUGCGCGAGGAAUCAGUGAUUUGUGCCGCAGGCUUCCGGGCUCCGGAGAUCCACUCUGCCUGCGCUCUCUCUCCGUUACGUGAGGAAGAUGGCUGCCAUGAAGAUCCUCACUGGCGCGGGACUCUUCUUGGCGUUCUGCUCGCUUGCUUUGCUCGCGAUGGCUAUUUGCACUGACCACUGGUACGAGACGGACGCGCGGAGACACCGGGAACGCUGUAAGAAUUACGCCAACAACAAGAGGAAAGACCCGGGCUUCAUCCUCCUGUCCAACCACAACCUGCCGCUCCAGAUGCCUCUGAAGGGCACCGUGGAGCGGAGACACCCGGGGCCGAGUGACGGAGCUCUUCUGCGGAAGAGGCGGGAGGUUGUUGCUGCUGCCCCGGCCAUGGAGUCGCAGUGUAGCCGGCAGUUCAACUCCACCAUCUCGGGGCUGUGGAGGAAGUGUCUGCGAGAAGGCUUCGACUUGGAGACGGAGGAGCUCAUCUAUAAAGGUCUGAUCCAGAGGUGUACAGCAGUGAAGUAUCACUACACCUCCUCCAGCCUCCCACGCAAUCUCUCCAUCAGCAUCACCAAGACCAUACGCCAGGACGAGUGGCAUGCACUCCAUCUGAGGCGCAUGACUGCUGGUUUUGUUGGCAUGGCCGUGGCCAUCAUCCUGUUUGGUUGGGUCAUCGGUGUGCUCGGAUGCUGCCAACAGCACGACCUUAUGCAGUACGUCGCUGGACUGCUCUUCCUCAUGGGAGGUACGUGCUGUAUAAUCUCUCUGUGUACGUGCGUGGCGGGGAUCAACUUCGAGCUGUCCCGGUACCCGCGCUACCUGUACGGCCUGCCGGAGGACAUCAGCCACGGCUACGGCUGGUCCAUGUUCUGCGCGUGGGGGGGGCUCGGCCUCACGCUAUUGGCCGGUUUCCUCUGCACACUCGCCCCCUCCGUCAGCACCCCCACCCCCACACGCUCCACCUCCAUACACAAGCCACGCCACGAGAACGGGAGUGUGUGAUCACCCGGGACCUCACGCACACACACACACACACACACACACACACACACACACACACAUAUGUCAACACCCCCACCCCCACACGCUCCACCUCCAUACACAAGCCACGCCACGAGAACGGGAGUGUAUGAUCACCCUAGACAUCACACACACACAUGCAUAACACACACACACACACAAACACACAUGUACAUGCAUAACACACACACACACACACAUUUUACCACAAACAAACCACUGGAGAUGGCAUUGUGUGAUCCCUCACACACAUGCAACCCUUCACACACACAAACACACACACAAACACACACACACACACACACACACACACACACAAAUCAUGCCACAGGAACAGCAGUGUGUUAGCAUGGGCUUGUGACCCACAAAUGUCUUCUUACACACACAUAUUGCAAACAUAAACACAUUGACACACAUGCAAUACAAGCACACAUUUACACUGGAUGUACAAACACACAUCCACACACACAAGCAAACACAGAAACACAUACACACACACACAAACACACUCCAGCCAGGCCAGUAGCCCCACAACAAACGGCCCCGGAGCAAACGGAGACCCUGGGAGGACCUGAUGGGUUGUGGUCAGCUGUGUGUGUGUAGGGACCGGCGUCUGGGACUCCCCCACAGGACACAGGACAGGACUUCGACCUGCACAGGACAGCUGGAUAUGCCGGCGGCGACGCUGGGAAGGGCCAGAUGUGUGACCGCACAUCACAGACUCUUGGGUUCAUGUCAGAGGAAGGAGUCGCUCUCUGGUUGGGCUCAUGUCAGAGGAAGGAAUCGCUCUCUGGUUGGGUUCAUGUCAGAGGAAGGAAUCAUUCUUGGGGUUGGUUAAGGGAAGAGUCACUCUUGGGGUUGGUUAAGGGAGGAGUCACUCUUGGGAUUGGUUAAGGGAAGAGUCACUCUUGGGGUUGGUUAAGGGAGGGGGUUCAGGGGUGCAACAGAGCUGUUGUGAGGUAAGGGAGUCCACUAAGACAUGACCUUCAUGAGCCGCCAGAGCUGGACAGCAGGCCACAGGCCGGGGCUUUGGGGUCAGUUCUCCUCAGUACACUAAGGAAAGGGCCUGAGCCUCUCCUCUGGCCAUCUCACACGUCCUCAACUGCAGCCAGGACUCAACGCUCUCUUAGGAGUCAGGACUCAGCGCUCUCUUAGGAGUCAGGACUCAGCGCUCUCUUAGGAGGAGUCAGGACUCAGCGCUCUCUUAGGAAGAGUCAGGACUCAGCGCUCUCUUAGGAGGAGUCAGGACUCAGCGCUCUCUUAGGAGUCAGGACUCGGCGCUCUCUUAGGAGUCAGGACUCAGCGCUCUCUUAGGAGUCAGGACUCAGCGCUCUCUUAGGAGGAGUCAGACAAACAGAAGAGGAAUCGGUGCUCUCUGUCACCCUUUCACUCACUGCACACCUUUGAGUUUUAAAACUUUCCACAUGCAAGAGGACAAACAACAACAAACAAACACAAACAGGCAAACAAACAAACAAACAGACAGACAGACAGACAAACAAACAAACAAAAGCAGAUGCUGAGACUGACUGCAGGUAAAUCCUGCCCAUUGUCCUUCCAGUCAGGGAUGGAUUUGUUGUGUUUGUGCGUGUGUGCGUGUGUGUGUGUGUGUGUGUGUGUGUGUGUGUGUGUGUGUGUGUGUGUGUGUGUG